CCCUUAGAUGUUCGGGGCCGCACGCGCGCUACACUGAAGGAAUCAGCACGUCUUUCUCCUUGUCCGAAAGGACUGGGUAACCCGCUGAACCUCCUUCGUGCUAGGGAUUGGGGCUUGUAAUUCUUCCCCAUGAACGAGGAAUUCCCAGUAAGCGCGAGUCAUAAGCUCGCGUUGAUUACGUCCCUGCCCUUUGUACACACCGCCCGUCGCUACUACCGAUUGGCUGGUUUAGUGAGAUCCUCGGAUUGGUCCCGGAGCGGCCUCUGGUCGUGCCGGAGUGCCGAAAAGAAUGUCGAACUUGAUCAUCUAGAGGAAGUAAAAGUCGUAACA
rnacentral:rRNA from 1 species